rnacentral:rRNA from 1 species
UACGUAGGGGGCAAGCGUUGUCCGGAAUUAUUGGGCGUAAAGAGCUCGUAGGCGGUUUGUCGCGUCGAAUGUGAAAACCCGGGGCUCAACCCCGGGCCUGCAUUCGAUACGGGCAGACUAGAGUUCGGUAGGGGAGUCUGGAAUUCCUGGUGUAGCGGUGAAAUGCGCAGAUAUCGCUUGGAACGCCGACGGCGAAAGCAGUCUGCUGGGGGCCUUCUGACGCUGAGACGACGAAAGCCAGGGGAGCGAACGGG